CACUGGCUAGUCUGACAGAAUCAAUGAGUGCGCUCCUUUGUUGGUGUUGAUUUUUUGCAGUUUUCUCGGCGAGGAUUGUCGUAGGCGAUUACGGUAAACUGCUUCAGGAAAAACCUGUUUAGCUAACCCGGUGUGUAGCGGGAAACAUGAUGGGUGACGGAAAAUCCAUUUCCCUGCAUAAUCAUCACCCGGGUGAAGAUGGCUUCCUGGGAAACAGUUGCGUUGGAGCUACGAUAAUUACUUUCGCUUUACUCAUGGCCGGGUAGAAUCUUCGUGAGUGACUCCUCCAAGAAUCAUCAAACCCGGUUUCAUAAUCUCAUCUUACGUUACAAGUGUGGAAAUCCAAUAAAAAUUAUGUGAAAUAAAA